GAUCCUGGCUCAGGAUGAACGCUAGCUACAGGCUUAACACAUGCAAGUCGAGGGGAAACGACAUCGAAAGCUUGCUUUUGAUGGGCGUCGACCGGCGCACGGGUGAGUAACGCGUAUCCAACCUGCCCACCACUUGGGGAUAACCUUGCGAAAGUAAGACUAAUACCCAAUGAUAUCCCACGAAGGCAUCCGAAUGGGAUUAAAGAUUUAUCGGUGAUGGAUGGGGAUGCGUCUGAUUAGCUUGUUGGCGGGGUAACGGCCCACCAAGGCAACGAUCAGUAGGGGUUCUGAGAGGAAGGUCCCCCCACAUUGGAACUGAGACACGGUCCAAACUCCUACGGGAGGCAGCAGUGAGGAAUAUUGGUCAAUGGACGAGAGUCUGAACCAGCCAAGUAGCGUGCAGGAUGACGGCCCUAUGGGUUGUAAACUGCUUUUAUAAGGGAAUAAAGUGAGCCUCGUGAGGCUUUUUGCAUGUACCUUAUGAAUAAGGACCGGCUAAUUCCGUG
rnacentral:rRNA from 1 species